GUACAGUCUCGGUGUCGGUCUCGGUCUCGGUAGGAGCGCAGCGCAUUUUGAGCGCGUUAAAGAUUCUCUUUAAUGUAUCAAUGUAUGUAUACCUAUAUGAAUUGAAUUGAAUACAAGUAUUUGUGUGAACGUGUGUGUUGAUUGUCAAAAUUGACAAUGUCUUACUUGAAAAGUUUGAAUUUCUAGAAAGCAUAGAUAGAUCCAUAGCAACGGUUUGUAGUAUUCAUGUCAUGUGACUGAGACCUAAGUCACGAAACCAAAUCAACGGCCAACUUUAAGCAAUGAAAAACUAACUGUUAAUACGCCUACUGUAACUGUUAGAAAACAAUAGCAAAACAUUUUUGAUCACAUUUCCGUCAUACCUCAAUUGAAUAAGAUAACGGUCAUUAUCAUUGACCUUAUUAGGCAGAAAUAAUUGAAUGGAUACAUAUUCCGUAUAAAUAGAGGUACUCAAAGCUAUGGGUUAGGUUACUACCUACCGAUAGUUGCUCAAUUCUAAAGCAACAAUUUCAAUAACAUCUCUUUCUAACCUUUGACCUAAAAUGUGUUGAUAUUUGAAUUAAAUUGGAUUAAACCAUUUAAAUAAAUACAACUUAAUAGUUAUUUUAAUUAUAUAUUACUUUUGAAAAAAACAUAAAUUUCUUUGUUUCCAAAAAGCUCA